rnacentral:rRNA from 1 species
UACGUAGGGUCCGAGCGUUGUCCGGAGUUACUGGGCGUAAAGCGCGCGCAGGCGGCGGUGUAAGCAUGGCGUGAAAGCCCCAGGCUCAACCUGGGAGGGUCGUCGUGGACUGCACCGCUUGAGGGCGGUAGGGGCUGGUGGAAUGCCUGGUGUAGUGGUGAAAUGCGUAGAGAUCAGGCGGAACACCCGUGGCGAAGGCGGCCAGCUGGGCCGUCCCUGACGCUGAGGAGCGAAAGCGUGGGGAGCGAACAGG